AGUGCAACACAUACUGUAUACUAAAAGUGGAAUGACACAGAGAAGGUUAACCUGAACCCUGCUCAGGGAUGACAUGUCAAAAAAAAUGUUCCAACCCCCAAUU